UACGAAGGGGGCUAGCGUUGCUCGGAAUCACUGGGCGUAAAGGGUGCGUAGGCGGGUCUUUAAGUCAGGGGUGAAAUCCUGGAGCUCAACUCCAGAACUGCCUUUGAUACUGAAGAUCUUGAGUUCGGGAGAGGUGAGUGGAACUGCGAGUGUAGAGGUGAAAUUCGUAGAUAUUCGGAGGAACACCAGUGGCGAAGGCGGCUCACUGGUCCAGAUCUGACGCUGAGGUGCGAAAGCGUGGGGAGCAAACAGG
rnacentral:rRNA from 1 species